rnacentral:rRNA from 1 species
AGUGAACGCUGGCGGUAGGCCUAACACAUGCAAGUCGAACGGCAGCACAGUAAGAGCUUGCUCUUACGGGUGGCGAGUGGCGGACGGGUGAGGAAUACAUCGGAAUCUACUUUUUCGUGGGGGAUAACGUAGGGAAACUUACGCUAAUACCGCAUACGACCUACGGGUGAAAGCAGGGGAUCUUCGGACCUUGCGCGAUUGAAUGAGCCGAUGUCGGAUUAGCUAGUUGGCGGGGUAAAGGCCCACCAAGGCGACGAUCCGUAGCUGGUCUGAGAGGAUGAUCAGACAGACUGGAACUGAGACACGGUCCAGACUCCUACGGGAGGCAGCAGUGGGGAAUAUUGGACAAAGGGCGCAAGCCUGAUCCAGCCAUACCGCGUGGGUGAAGAAGGCCUUCGGGUUGUAAAGCCCUUUUGUUGGGAAAGAAAAGCAGCAGGUUAAUACCCCGCUGUUCUGACGGUACCCAAAGAAUAAGCACCGGCUAACUUCGUG